CUCAGUUUUCCUUGAGUUUACCAUCAGAAGAUUGUAGGUCAUCCAUGAUAUCAUAUCAUUUAUGCAUGCUUGGAGUUAAGCUAACUGACUGGUUUCAUUUGGCUUGAUUGAUAAGUAUAAUUCGGUGUCAUCCGCAUAACAAUGAAAGUUAAUUGAUAUUUUCCUAAUAAUAUUGCCUAGAGGAAGCAUA